rnacentral:rRNA from 1 species
GCCAGCACGAGAGGGUGGGCACUCUAAGGUGACUGCCGGUGACAAACCGGAGGAAGGUGGGGAUGACGUCAAAUCAUCAUGCCCCUUAUGACCUGGGCUACACACGUGCUACAAUGGCCGGUACAACGGGAGGCGAAGCCGCGAGGCGGAGCGAAUCCUUAAAAGCCGGUCUCAGUUCGGAUUGCAGGCUGCAACUCGCCUGCAUGAAGUCGGAAUUGCUAGUAAUCGCGGAUCAGCAUGCCGCGGUGAAUACGUUCCCGGGCCUUGUACACACCGCCCGUCACACCACGAGAGUUUGUAACACCCGAAGUCGGUGUGGUAACCCGCAAGGGAGCCAGCCGCCGAAGGUGGGACAAAUGAUUGGGGUGAAGUCGUAACAAGGUAGCCGUAUCGGAAGGUGCGGCUGGAUCACCUCCUU